rnacentral:rRNA from 1 species
UUCCGUUCCGGACUGGCCGGGGAAGUCACCGCCUGGUGCCUCCCCGCCAGCCUCCGAACAGGUCUUUUUCGAAGCCCCGCCGGUUCUACGCCGGGGUGCUCUUUACCGAGUGUCUCGUGCGGCCGGCAAGUUUACCUUGAAUAAAUAAGAGUGCUCAAGGCAGGCUACUCUUCAAACCUAUGCCCGAAAGAUAACUGCAUGGAAUAAUGAAAGAUGAUCUCGGUCUCAUUUCUGAUUGGCUCUGGGGACCGAGAUAAUGAUUAGAAGAGACUGUCGGGGGCAUCCGUACUACGACGCGAGAGGUGAAAUUCUAUGACCGUCGUAGGACGAACAACAGCGAAAGCAUUUGCCAAGAAUGUCUUCAUUGAUCAAGAACGAAAGUUAGAGGAUCGAAGGCGAUCAGAUACCGCCCUAGUUCUAACCCUAAACGAUGCUGACUAGCAAUCCGCCGUCGUUAUUCCCAUGACGUGGCGGGCCGCUCCCGGGAAACCUCAAGUCUUUGAGUUCCGGGGGUAGUAUGGUUGCAAAACUGAAACUUAAAGGAAUUGACGGAAGGGCACCACCAGGAGUGGAGCCUGCGGCUUAAUUUGACUCAACACGGGAAACCUCACCAGGCCCAGACACUAGCAGGAUUGACAGAUUAAGAGCUCUUUCUCGAUUUGGUGGGUGGUGGUGCAUGGCCGUUCUUAGUUGGUGGAGUGAUUUGUCUGGUUAAUUCCGGUAACGAACGAGACUCUGGCCUACUAAAUAGUCGACGUGGUGGCAUGGCCACGGUCGAAACUAUCUUCUUA